UACGUAGGGUGCAAGCGUUGUCCGGAAUUAUUGGGCGUAAAGAGCUCGUAGGCGGCUUGUCGCGUCGGCUGUGAAAACCCGAGGCUCAACUUCGGGCUUGCAGUCGAUACGGGCAGGCUAGAGUUCGGUAGGGGAGACUGGAAUUCCUGGUGUAGCGGUGAAAUGCGCAGAUAUCAGGAGGAACACCGAUGGCGAAGGCAGGUCUCUGGGCCGAUACUGACGCUGAGGAGCGAAAGCGUGGGGAGCGAACAGG
rnacentral:rRNA from 1 species